AUGAUUUUGUUGACCCCCACACUCACUUCCUCUAGCACCACCUCUAGCAAGUCAGUGGUUUUCAGUGAAAUGUCUCAAUAACUAUUGCUAUGAAAUGUGGCACAAACAUUUGUGUUGUGGUCCUGCAGUAUCUCCUCCUCAUCCCUUCUGUUCUCCUACUGUUUUUCACUUCCCUGUGUUUCCCAUUAGUCUCUCUGUCUCUCUCUGUUGUCUGUGUGUUGUCUGUCUGGGGUAGCUUCACACUCUGGCUCCUGCUGACAAUCUCCACCUGCUCACCUGCCCUGCAUUCAACUAAUCAAGAAGCUGCAGUAUAUCAACCCCGGCUCUUCACCUCAUUCUCUGCCAGAUUGUCAGUUAACCUCAAGACCAUGUGUACCUGGAACUCCUUUACUGUCUGCCCUGUCUGACCUGCCUGCCUUUUCCUGGUUGCCACGCUGCUCCACUGCCUACGCCCCAUCUGACUUUUCCCCAUGAAAGAUUAAAAUAAACUAUGUUUGACUGCCA